UACGUAGGGGUCGAGCGUUGUCCGGAGUUACUGGGCGUAAAGGGCUCGUAGGCGGCCAACUAAGUCAGACGUGAAAUCCCCAGGCUCAACCUGGGAACUGCGUCUGAUACUGGAUGGCUUGAAUCCGGGAGAGGGAUGCAGAAUUCCAGGUGUAGCGGUGAAAUGCGUAGAUAUCUGGAGGAAUACCGGUGGCGAAGGCGGCAUCCUGGACCGGCAUUGACGCUGAGGAGCGAAAGCUAGGGGAGCAAACGGG
rnacentral:rRNA from 1 species